rnacentral:lncRNA from 1 species
GCAAUGUGUGUAAAAAGGUCUGUCUCUUAAUUCAAACUUGAGAGGUCUAUAGGAUCCUUGAUUAUUUGCUUCUCUGAUGGUUUGGUAUGUGUCAUUCAAACUGAUAAGAAACUUUACUGAUCUUUCAAAUUCAUCUGAGAGUUGUUACGUUGUUUUCUUUUUUGUAUCAUAUGUAUUCCAAAGUUUGGUCAGUUUAGCGUAAUAUGUGCAGACAGAAAGAGUCUUGACCUUGAUAUAAGGUGUAAAUUUGAACUAAUUGAGAUGCAUAAGACAUAGUUCCAUUAGACUAAUUAAAAUAAAACCUUGGGGAUUUUAACAAUACUCCCAAUAAAAUUAUUUAAGAAGAGUGUAAUUUUAGAAUCCACCCCAAGACUUUGGUUAAUUUAAGGAUUCUCUCAAUAAAAUAUUGUAUAAAGACCAAAACACUCCAAUCCUAAUCUCCUCUCGAUCAUUUUCGUCACCGUCUCCGGCGAACUCACUCUCCAACUCGAACCGGAAAAUAACCAUCAACCAUGGACGUCGUGGAUAUCAAACCAUCCAACCUGACCGAGAAGAAGCAGGAUCCACCGACGUUCAACUUCUGUGUAUCCAGAGAAUUUUCCUCAGACAACAGUAUCAACAAACAACUCUCCACCGCCGAUGAGCUUUUCUCCGAUGGUAUGAUCCUUCCUCUUCCGAUCAUGCAUCAAAGUAAUAUCCUCCCUCAUAUCCCUCCCAACCAGAUCGUCGGAGGAAGAAGAAGAAUAAGAAGAAAUAGCACCGGGGAUUAUCGCCAGCACAACAUACGUAGUUCAACUCCAAAUCCCACUCUCACUCCCACUCCCACCGGCGUUCUGAGAAGCAAGUCCACCGGAUCCAGCCGUAAUCUUUCUUCUUCGUCUUCGUCGUCGUCUUACUAUUUUGGAACGACGAGUGGUGGGAGCUCCGGUGGAAUACGAAUAAGUCCGAUACUGAACUUUCCUCCUCCACGCAAUAUUCUGGGCAAGGGGAAAGGGAAUAAGUUCUUUGGGUUUUUACAUUUUUUCACCAAAAGGAAUAAUAAUAGCAAAGAUACCCCUACAAGCAGGAGGAAGUAAUUUAUUUUAUUACAUAUGGACUAGAUUUCAGGCCCAUCUUCAGCCCAAAUGUCAGAUUCUAGUUUAAGAUCUUGUAAACUCAACUUCCAUAGUUUUUACUUUUUCAGUUGCUCAGGUUCUGUUGGAAUUUCUUUCUUUGAAUACAACCUAUUCGAAUGAAUUGAAGUGACUCUCUAGUUAUAAGACCUUUUAUAGAGGUAAUCUGGUCAUUAAGAUCGUAACUGCAUAACUGCUCAGAAAUCAACCCCAGGAAGUCGAUCUGAAAAUGUCAACCUCCCCAUACGUCAACUUGGAGCCUCCCAUAACCUAUACGGGUGUUUCCAUCUACUCUAGGCUAUCCGAAUCUCCGAUUGCUGGUGUUGUAACCAAGUUUGAGAUACUGUAUCACCAACUAUAUAUGAAUGUUGUUUAACUGAUAUAUAUGGAUGAAUUUAUAUGAAUUAUUACAAUGUUGUUCUAGCAGUAUUGUUAAUAUACCAGUAUUAUGUAUGAUGUAUAUUAGGUACAAAUGAUUGAGUUCACUAUGCGAUAAGUGGUCGGAUGUAUUAUGCAUAUGUAAAUAUGAGUAAUAUGAUCGAGAAAGAUGUUACUGUAAGCGAGGAUGCGGGUAAUCGAUGAUGGAGUAGAUGGAACAACAAAGAAAACGAUGCAGAUCUGAAGACUGAUGUUGAUCGAAGCAACUGAGCAAGAACUGAAGCAAGAUAGAGGAGGUGCAUGAUUCCCUAAUGAGAUCGAGUAUGAUUUUAGGAUGAAAGUAGAGUGAUAACCGGUAAGUAUUGGAUCUGGGUGUUGGUAAUUUAUAUAUAUAGGUGAUGAUGUAUGUAUAGUCGGAUAUGGACUUACACAAUCGGAUUAUAGUUUACUCUCUCUCUCUAGUGUAGUACAAGUGUCGAAGGUAGCGUGUCUUCCCUCCUCUUAGGAGGCCAGUAUUUAUAGACCUUCUUCUACCCUUCAGGCCAGGUCGGGAUCUGGGGAUGUUCCUGGACCGCUCUAGCGUGCUGUAGGUAUCAUCAAUAUAUACUCCCCUCGAUGGGCAUGGUUCGUUUGAUGUUCCUGUUAGGUCACUCUAGUGGGCUGAGGGUAUCAUCAGUACUCUCCAAUUUUUGGAGCCUAAUCAUGUCUUCUUUUGCAAUCCUCGAAGAGUUGGUACACCAGCAGACUGUCUAGUCAGAGCGUCUAAUCAUCCUUGAAGUCGAUUUUAAUUAGGGCUAGUUCUUUCUGCCACUGAGAGUCACUGGUUGAAUACUUUACUUCUUGCAGUGCACCGUCGAUUGGCCUCCCUUCGUCAGGUUGACACUGAUUCGCUCGCGCUGAGGCCUAUGACUCGAGCCACUUCGUAUGACAACGGACCGAACCGGACCGGGAUUGGGCCUGGUCCAUUGAUGUUCCUGUUGGGCCACUCUAGUGGGCCGAGGGUAUCAUCAAUAGGAUUUAUGGAUACCAACAGGUAUAUUUAAAGUGGCUAGAAUAGUAAAUAGGAUACUAAUUGGAGGGCAAUUAUGUCCCUCAAGAAGUUUGAGAAAUCGGAUUUCUUUGGCAACGCGCGACAACAUAAACUAGCUAGUCCUUCCAGUGAGAAACCCCAUCAAACUAGCUAGUACUCCAUCAAUCUACCAAACUUAAAUGCCUCUUAGCUAAGGUAAGGUGGGGUCAAUCUACUAGACUACUACUUAAACCCAUUAAACCCCAUUAUAGACAGUAACAUAUUAUAAAUUCGUCAUACAAUGUCUUUUUUUUAUGGUAACCUGACUUAAUGCAUUUGGAAUAUUCGUCCAACCUGAUCCUAACAGUCCUCCAGAUCUGGUGGUCGCACCUGAUCAAAAAUCGUCUAAUGGUCCUCAAAUAUAUUGAAAAAAAUGGCAUGGUCGCUCCGAUCCAGAUUUGGUCUAGAUUCGUUCACCUGAUCAAAAAUCAUCUAAUGGUCCUCAAAUAUAUUGAGAAAAAAUGGUCUGGUCGCUCCAGAUUUGGUAAUCGCAACAUUAUUGGUUGAUCAUAGGAGUAGAAAAAAGGGUUAUGAUGAAGUCUUGAGAAUUUAGGAAGAGAAUCUUGAGAAUCAAUUCUUUCAUGGUUGAUUAAAAAAUGGAGGAUAAUGCAUGCAAGCAUGAGGCGUGAAUAGUGUGUGUGUGUGUGCGCGUGCGCGCAUGUAACACCAUAUGGAUGGACGGUCGACCAUGUGUGUUUCUUGCAUUAUAUAUCUUUAAUAUUUGAGAACAUCCAUUUGGGUUUUUUCUAAGGAAAUCCAUGAACUAUAUAGAUUUUUUUUUUGAUAAUAACAUGGUAUCAGAGUUUAAAAAUACAUACUCGAGACUCAAAUUUUGAACCUUAAAAAACUUUAAUAGUUAUUAUGAUCAGUCACCGUCACUAAUUAAGAAUUGGGAAUUGUCUUUUUGGGGAAUAGGGAAUCUUGAUUGAUUAAUUAAAAACAUGUUCAGAUGAAUCAGAUCCACCACCACUUUCAUCAUGUUGAUUUUUUUAAUUAUGCAUAUCAUGGAAUCUUAUCCAUAUUUCUCUAAACCCUAAUUCAAGAAGCAAUCAUAAAUAUAUAUUAAUCUCCCCCAAUUCCAUGUUACUUUCCACUACUACUAACCCUAAUUUAAUAUUGAGCGCACACGCGUCUUAUUUUGUAAUACAGAUUAAUCAGUGGCGGAUUCAGGAUUUUUUUUCUCUCGAAUGGAUUAUUAAUAUAAUCAAGAUUAUGGGUUAGAUCUAAAAACCUUAAACCCUAAACCCUAAAAGUAAAUUCGAAGUUGUUGAUCGAUCAAUGAAAUUUGGGAUCUCUAGUUUGAGAAAAAAGUCAAAAGGGGUCGGACUAAUUAAUGGAAAAAUGGUCAACCUAUUAAAAUUUCAAUGGUAAAUUUAGAAAUUGAACCAGGUGAUAAUCUUUAAUUUUAAAAAUACCCCUAGGAACAAACAUGAAAUUUGAUCUCAGUCGUCCAUUUUAAUAUUAAACAAAUAAACAUACCUCGCUGACUCUCUAUCUUUAUUAGUUCUUGUUGUUUACCGUUAUUUACGAGAUCUGCCAUUCUGAUCAAAUACCAAUGAUAUAAAUACCCCCCCCUUCUUCCCCCCCUCUGCUUGCUCAUCGUCGUCACACAUCUGAUCUUCCUAUCUUUUCGAGUCUUGAUUCGGGGCGAUUUUAGGUAACGACGGAGAGAUCGAAUGCUGUUUUUAGACGCAAUUCUUUCAGAUCUUUCCGUUUUUAUUAUCGAUGAUGAUGUUUUUUUUCUGUUGCUUCGUUUUUUUUUUUUUUGAUUUAGAUUUGAGAUAAACAGCAAGGUAGGGGUGAUGGCUGGAAUGGAUGUACCUGUGUAUUGUCCUAAGCCUCGUCGGAUUGUCAGUGGAAACGGUGGCGAAAUCGGAAUCGACAAGUAUCAUUGGACGUCUG